rnacentral:rRNA from 1 species
UACGAGGGGUCCUAGCGUUGUUCGGAAUCACUGGGCGUAAAGCGCAUGUAGGUGGCCUUAUAAGUCAGGCGUGAAAUCCCCGGGCUCAACUCGGGAAGUGCGUUUGAUACUGUAGGGCUUGAGUGUGGGAGAGGGUAGUAGAAUUCUUGGUGUAGUGGUGAAAUACGUAGAUAUCAAGAGGAAUACCGGUGGCGAAGGCGGCUACCUGGCCCAACACUGACACUUAGAUGCGAAAGCGUGGGGAUCAAACAGG